UAGGGAAUCUUCGGCAAUGGACGGAAGUCUGACCGAGCAACGCCGCGUGAGUGAAGAAGGUUUUCGGAUCGUAAAGCUCUGUUGUAAGAGAAGAACGAGUGUGAGAGUGGAAAGUUCACACUGUGACGGUAUCUUACCAGAAAGGGACGGCUAACUACGUGCCAGCAGCCGCGGUAAUACGUAGGUCCCGAGCGUUGUCCGGAUUUAUUGGGCGUAAAGCGAGCGCGGGCGGUUAGAUAAGUCUGAAGUUAAAGGCUGUGGCUUAACCAUAGUAGGCUUUGGAAACUGUUUAACUUGAGUGCAAGAGGGGAGAGUGGAAUUCCAUGUGUAGCGGUGAAAUGCGUAGAUAUAUGGAGGAACACCGGUGGCGAAAGCGGCUCUCUGGCUUGUAACUGACGCUGAGGCUCGAAAGCGUGGGGAGCAAACAGGAUUAGAUACCCUGGUAGUCCACGCUGUAAACGAUGAGUGCUAGGUGUUAGACCCUUUCCGGGGUUUAGUGCCGUAGCUAACGCAUUAAGCACUCCGCCUGGGGAGUACGACCGCAAGGUUG
rnacentral:rRNA from 1 species